rnacentral:lncRNA from 1 species
UUGAAAAACAUACUGUUUAUGAGUUACAUGCUAUAGCGUAGUAGAAAGAGCGGACAAACAGGCACGGGAGUGCCCGUCUGAACGCUAGUCCAAAUAAAGAGAGAAGAAUAUAAUCUAAAUAAUAUGUGCUGCUGUCUUAUUUCAUUUCAUUAUCAUUAUUUUAGAGUGCAAAUAUAAAUCUAAAAAGUUCUUCAAAUUCUAAAAAGAAAAAAAAAAUUAAUUUAUUGGGUUGUGAGAAAAUAACUAAAUGACAGCUCGUGGAAUAUUGUAGGAGCAUUUGUGUACUAUUUGGGGUCUAGAAAUAAAUGAAGAAUCAUGUGAGCACACGAUUUGUUUCCUUCCCUAUCGGAUAACAUUUAAUUACUCCAUACUCACAUAUCGGUUCCAUACCAGGGGGACACCUAUUUAGUAGAUCAUCAGGACAAGUAACGAGACAUGGAUUACACCCUAUAAUAAAAGAGAGAGAAUAAAAAGUGUGAAUAAAAUAGUUCAAUAUUUUGUGUAUGAAGUAGUGAAGAAAAAUUUAAAUGGUUAGAAAUGACUUACCUCCAGCAUUCGUUGCAACCAGAAAUAAGGAAAAAAAGAUAAUCAUAUUAUAAACAAAAUUGAUAAUUUUAGCCAUAUCUCCCUC